AUCCAGCCGACGAGUCCUCAACAGGACGAAACGUGCAUCCUGGAU
rnacentral:hammerhead_ribozyme from 1 species